rnacentral:rRNA from 1 species
AACGAACGCUGGCGGCAUGCCUAACACAUGCAAGUCGAACGAGACCUUCGGGUCUAGUGGCGCACGGGUGCGUAACGCGUGGGAACCUGCCCUUAGGUUCGGAAUAACUCCCCGAAAGGGGUGCUAAUACCGGAUAAUGUCCUCGGACCAAAGAUUUAUCGCCUUUGGAUGGGCCCGCGUUGGAUUAGCUUGUUGGUAGGGUAAAAGCCUACCAAGGCGACGAUCCAUAGCUGGUCUGAGAGGAUGAUCAGCCACACUGGGACUGAGACACGGCCCAGACUCCUACGGGAGGCAGCAGUGGGGAAUAUUGGAAAAUGGGCGAAAGCCUGAUCCAGCAAUGCCGCGUGAGUGAUGAAGGCCUUAGGGUUGUAAAGCUCUUUUACCCGGGAUGAUAAUGACAGUACCGGGAGAAUAAGCUCCGGCUAACUCCGUG